rnacentral:lncRNA from 1 species
ACACACACACAGAGUGAAAAAGGCGAGCCACCAAAACCCAUCUCCAGUCUCCUCCCGGGGGCCCCCAGCCCGCCUCUGUGCCACUUUGCAUCCCACGCCGGAGGAGGCAUUAACGAGACCGGUGCUGCAUUCUUACAACCCUAAAAUCCAUCUGCUCUUAACACACCGUCAAAAAGAGGGGGAAAUGCAUCUCCGAGGGAGUGCUCGAGAGAAGAUAAUGGAAUGGUCUGAUGUAAUCCCAUACAAAUUAUUCCUCAUGAUGUGAAAAUGCUUUUACAGGGACCUGGGAGAUUUCUAAACUGAGUGCUGUGCUGGCCAUUGGUGACCCAAAGAUGAUGAAAAAUAUGUUCCUGCCCACAAGGAGUUAGCGACCUACUGGGGUUUUUCUCAGAAAUUACGUACUCUACGGCUGCCCAUCCUAUUCAAGAAUGAGGCAAUAGAAAAGCAUUUGCAAAAGUUAGUUACAAAUGUGGGGCUUGACGUUGAGCUAA